AAGGUAAGACCGAUGACUGGGGUGAAGUCGUAACAAGGUAGCCGUAUCGGAAGGUGCGGCUGGAUCACCUCAUUU
rnacentral:rRNA from 1 species